GACAGAGGUGCCGAGCGUUAGGCGGAAUCACUGGGCUUAAAGCGCGUGUAGGCGGGGCGGCACGUCGGUCGCUGAAAUCCCCCGGCUCAACCGGGGAAGGGGCGCCGAUACGACCGGCCUGGAGGGACGUAGGGGGAGCUGGAACUUCCGGUGGAGCGGUGAAAUGCGUUGAGAUCGGAAGGAACGCCCGUGGCGAAAGCGAGCUCCUGGACGUUUUCUGACGCUGAGACGCGAAAGCCAGGGGAGCGAACGGG
rnacentral:rRNA from 1 species